rnacentral:rRNA from 1 species
UACGAAGGGGCUAGCGUUGCUCGGAAUCACUGGGCGUAAAGCGCACGUAGGCGGCUUUCUAAGUCAGGGUGAAAUCCUGGAGCUCAACUCCAGAACUGCCUUUGAUACUGGAGAGCUAGAGUCCGGAAGAGGUGAGUGGAACUGCGAGUGUAGAGGUGAAAUUCGUAGAUAUUCGCAAGAACACCAGUGGCGAAGGCGGCUCACUGGUCCGGUACUGACGCUGAGGUGCGAAAGCGUGGGGAGCAACAGG